rnacentral:rRNA from 1 species
UACGAAGGAUCCAAGCGUUAUCCGGAUUUAUUGGGUUUAAAGGGUGCGUAGGCGGGCUAUUAAGUCAGUGGUGAAAGCCCCAAGCUUAACUUGGGAACUGCCAUUGAUACUGAUGGUCUUGAGUACACUUGAGGUGGGCGGAAUGUGUCAUGUAGCGGUGAAAUGCUUUAGAUAUGACACAGAACACCGAUUGCGAAGGCAGCUUACUUCACGAUUAUUGACACUGAGGCACGAAAGCGUGGGGAGCAAACAGG